AAAUCUGGUGGUUGUCAGGGACUGAUGGGAGGGGGAAAAUGGGAAGUUGUUUAAUGGGUAUAGAGUUUGAAUUUUGUAAGAUGAAAAAAUUCUGGAGAUUUGUUGCUCAACAAUAUGAAUGUACUUCAUGCUACUGAACUGUACACUUAAAAAUGGUUAAGAUUUAUCUUCAAAUUUAAAAAUGCUGGUAUGACCAUCUUUGAUAGAACAUUCCAUUUCUGUAUAUCAGGGGCCAGCAAACUAUGGCUCAUGGGUCAAAUGUAGCCCACUGCUUGUUAUUUUUUACAGCUUAUGAGUGGGAGUGGCAUUUACAUUUUUUAAUGGUUGAAAAAAUUCUACAGGAGAAUAAUAUGACCUGUGAAAAUUGUACAAAAUAUAGAUUUCAGUUUUAUUGGAACAUAGCUAGACAUUCACUUAUGUAUUAUCUAUGACUUCUUUUGUGCUACAGUGGCAGAGGAGUUGUGACAGUGAUCAUAUAGCCUACAAAGCCUUAAAUAUUUACUAACCUGGCCAUUAAAGAAAAACUUGGAAGUUGCUCUCUUGUAGCAGUUGCCAGUUACCGGAUCCUUUACAGCAUCAUCUUUGAUGGCUUUAAAUGCCUAAUUCGCAGCUUUGUCAUGCACUCCUACUGGCUAUUAUCAGUGUAUUCUAAUAUGUGGGGAGAUUCUCACUUCCUUAUCCUCUACUGUGACACCCUAACCAAUUCCAGCAAACUCACUUACUCAAGCUUCAGUUAUGGCUGGAAUCCUAUUAGCAAUUUCUGGUAUUAUAAGAUCUUUUAUUUUCAAGAAACAGACUUCUCUUGAGUCAGCCAGGCAGUUUGGACCACCCAUGGCGAUGCAUGGCCACCCUUUAAGGCAGACAAGCUUUUCUUAAAGAGUCCAAAUAAAGAAAAUCCUACUUUUUUUUUUUUUUGGUCUUUUUGCCAUUUCUUGGGCCGCUUCCACGGCAUAUGGAGGUUCCCAGGCCAGGGGUCGAAUCAGAGCUGUAGCUGCUGGCCUAUGCCAGAGCCACAGCAAUGCAGGAUCCAAGCCACGGCUGCAACCUACACCACAGCUCACGGCAACGCCGCAUCCUUAACCCACUGAGCAAGGCCAGGGAUUGAACCCACAACCUCAUGGUUCUUCGUCGGAUUCGUUAACCA
rnacentral:lncRNA from 1 species